CCCCCCCCUUGCCCCCUCCCCCUGGCGCCGCCACUGGUUCUUUCAUUUAAGAAAAUAAGAAAUUUCAUGUCACAUGUACUUUAAGAAAAUAUUCUUGAAAUAAAAAAAUAUUUUCUUGGGAGAAUAACAAGAAAAUUUUCUUAGUGUGCGGAUAGGUUUUGUGAGGAUUUGACCUCUCGAGGCCUUGAGGAAAAUAUCUCUCGUGUUUGAUAUUUUUCACCUCGCGAGGAAAAAAUCUCAACGUCUGUGGAUGUUGUGACUUGUGAGCAUAGUGCUGAGCUGCUGGAGGAAAAUGCGAACGGAGGAAAAUGCAAACGAUUUCACGCCAAUUAUGUUGUUGUUGAGUGGUUUUCCCAACGUGUGCGGUGAAAAUGCACAGCUGAGCUCGCCACCACGCGAAGCUUAGCGGUUAGCUCAGCAAGUUUCUCUCGUGUGUGGCAGGCUCAAAGUAUAACACUCAGCUCGUUCUUUAUAUCAUUUCUUUCAUAAAUCCAAUUAUUAUCAGACCUGUACAAUUAAAAAGAAUUUGAUCAGCAUUAUUUACAUGAAGUCGUAAAAAAGUAGCUACUGUACAUGUAGAUUAAUAACGGAAGGAAAUGCAACAAUAAAUGAAGGAAGUUACUGAUGUCUAUUCACAAUAUAUAUCAUCCACCUGAUUAUAAUGAACAGUUAUUGGAUGAGGUUUUGUGAUAUCGAGAGUUAUCAAAGUCGAGUAAGUGUCAUCAGGCGAGAUUAAUAACACUUACCGUGACCCUGAUAAUUCGGUAUAUCACAAAAACCGAAUUCAAUAACUG